rnacentral:sRNA from 1 species
CCAAGAUUGGGCCUUCCGCGCUCUAACC